rnacentral:rRNA from 1 species
UACUCCUACGGGAGGCAGCAGUAGGGAAUAUUGCACAAUGGAGGAAACUCUGAUGCAGCGACGCCGCGUGAGUGAUGAAGGCCUUCGGGUCGUAAAGCUCUGUCGCAGGGGAAUAACACAAUGAAUGUACCCUGUAAGAAAGGAUCGGCUAACUUCGUGCCAGCAGCCGCGGUAAU